UAGAGAUAGCCGGUAAGUAUGCGUGCUACUGCGAACACUGUUAUUGAGAACUUCGAACGUAUGUCCAGGUGCUAGUGUGUCUGCGAAGAGAUCGUUUUGGUGCCAAGACGAGUUCUGUCAUUAUGUACUAACAUUCUCGUCGACGGUAAAUUGAUAAAUCUUGUGGCGCGUAUCGCUACGAGUCGAACGAAGUUUUCGUUUCCGACAUGCCUACUGAGAACUGUGACUUGCGGUUCGUCGUCAAGUACUAAGCAGUACUGAUGUACGGUCAAUCGGUUGACAUGCAACACAAAUUUGGCGCGGUCGGUAAAAUACUCAAAACGAAGGCAAUUCCACAUUGGAACCACCGAGAAGCUGAAAAAUUUCUAGUCCUUCAACUUCUCGACUUCAAUUGACUAGUCUGAUACUCCAUCGGACCAUUCAGUCACCAGUUGUCAAAAUGUCUUCAAUCAACACUUGUUUGACAGUUAUUAUCAAUUAUGCUAAAAUAUAUAAAAUAAAAAUAUUUUUUUGAAUACUGAUGGGGAAACUGGUACAUCUCCAUUAAAAUUAGCUACUUUAAUGAAUAAAGGGAACCCUAAUGAAAAAAAAAUAAAAAAGUUAGUCUCAAAAAGAAAAAUGAAAUUGAAAUUCUUGAUUAAAUAUAACUGGUUAUGGGAACACUCUGUUCAAUGAAAUGAAAAAUAUUAAAUAUUGUAUUAUUAAAUAUUAUAAUAAUAAAUUGUCAAUCAAUUAUAAACAAUAUGAACACAAUAUUGUAUUAAGUUAGUAAUCAUUUAGUUAAUAACUAUAAAAAAAAAUGUAUGGUUCAUUUUUAAAAUGUCAUUGUUUCACCCUGAAAUUUUUUAUUUGGAUGUUAGGUGUAAUUGAAUAUGUAUCAUUAUAAUUCUUUACACGUAUUUGAUAAUUACUUUAUAAUAACUACUAUGUUAAAAUAAGCCACAUGCGAAUUACAAAAAAAUAGUAUGGAAAAGCUAUAGAUUGCAAAACAACACCAUCAUCAACCGAAUAUUUCAAUCAAGGAAAAGGUUAACCAAUUGAUGAAAAAACAAUUAACUAACGAGGACAUGAUCAAUCAGCAUUUAUAAGAGCUUCGGUUUAGCACCAAUUUUAGACAUAUCCAGCUGUACAAUUUAUAAGCUUAUAUCUGUUAUUAUCAUUUUACUUUGUCUAAAAAGAUGUUUGUAUGAUUGUGUGAUUGUAUGUGGAUGUUAAAUUAAAAGUGUUAAUAAACACAACUCGAAAUUCUA